rnacentral:lncRNA from 1 species
GGAAAUUUCAAGAAUAAGCAGAUCUACAGAGACAGAAAAUAGUCUUGGUCUUGAAGUGACAUCAGCAUCCUGGUGGAAUGAGCUCUCCCCUUAGACUCUCCCCUCUAAGAAACAGUGAAAAGGACAUUCACAUACCAACAGAGGACAUUCACACAAGACAAAAGACAUCUAAGAGACCCCCACAGCCAUACAUCUGAAAGUGGAGAUGCUGGACCCCACAAAGGAAGUGGAAGGAGGACCUCUCACUCUGCAGAGCCCAGAAUUGUGGAGAUGGGAAACACAAAAUCCCUUGGCAGGUCAUUAGAAGUGAUGGGCUUGCUACAAACACACUGCACCUGUUAUCACAACUGAUACAGCACCCCAGGAUCUGCUGGAUUGUAUGACUCAAGUGGUAGAGCCACUUGCACCAUAACCUGUACCUUCUACAGAGCUCUCUCCUGUUCCUGGCCCCAUUCAAAGCUGGCAGCCUUUUGUAUUACUGAUGUGUGGGCCAGAGCAGCAUCCCUAGCUGUGGAAUGUGUUGCCUUUAGAACCUGAAAAGGCAAAAUAGGCAUUAUACCUUCUAUAAAUAAU